rnacentral:tRNA from 1 species
GGGGCUAUAGCUCAGCUGGGAGAGCGCUUGAAUGGCAUUCAAGAGGUCAGCGGUUCGAUCCCGCUUAGCUCCACUA